rnacentral:rRNA from 1 species
GGGAACGUACCCUUCGGUUCGGAAUAACUCAGGGAAACUUGAGCUAAUACCGGAUACGCCCUUUUGGGGAAAGGUUUACUGCCGAAGGAUCGGCCCGCGUCUGAUUAGCUUGUUGGUGGGGUAACGGCCUACCAAGGCGACGAUCAGUAGCUGGUCUGAGAGGAUGAUCAGCCACACUGGGACUGAGACACGGCCCAGACUCCUACGGGAGGCAGCAGUGGGGGAUAUUGGACAAUGGGCGCAAGCCUGAUCCAGCCAUGCCGCGUGAGUGAUGAAGGCCUUAGGGUUGUAAAGCUCUUUUGUCCGGGACGAUAAUGACGGUACCGGAAGAAUAAGCCCCGGCUAACUUCGUGCCAGCAGCCGCGGUAAUACGAAGGGGGCUAGCGUUGCUCGGAAUCACUGGGCGUAAAGGGCGCGUAGGCGGCCGAUUAAGUCGGGGGUGAAAGCCUGUGGCUCAACCACAGAAUUGCCUUCGAUACUGGUUGGCUUGAGACCGGAAGAGGACAGCGGAACUGCGAGU